UUACAGAGAUGACACAAGUUUAUGCUCAUUUAAUAAGAAACAAUGGACUAGAUCAUCGUGAGGUACACAACCGCCAUCUCGUCGACCGUAAAUCGAUAUCGCAAGAAUAGGAAUCACGUCAGAUGUAUCGAAACCUAUUGAGCACGACACGAUUCGCCAUAGGACAGUUGUAAUUUCCCGAAGGCUGCGGGCAGCUCCGAUGGUGGACCCACGAUGGGCACUUCCGUCGGCAAAUAUCAACGUUGUUUCGCGUUGUUUGCACGGCUUUCGGUUCGUUACCAGAACCAGAUGACGACACUGCCAACACAGCUUUCGUAACGACCGAGGAAUUCCGACUAUACACCUAUUUCUAGCCCCUCCAACACCGGAAUGCUGAUCUUCGGGCAUGAACAAUGAUGCAUCCUUCGGCGUACUCUAGUCGAGUCACACGGGAACCCAUCGUGCCCGUG
rnacentral:misc_RNA from 1 species